AGAGUUUGAUCCUGGCUCAGAUUGAACGCUGGCGGCAUGCCUUACACAUGCAAGUCGAACGGCAGCGCGGGGCAACCUGGCGGCGAGUGGCGAACGGGUGAGUAAUAUAUCGGAACGUACCCUGGAGUGGGGGAUAACGUAGCGAAAGUUACGCUAAUACCGCAUACGAUCUAAGGAUGAAAGUGGGGGAUCGCAAGACCUCAUGCUCCUGGAGCGGCCGAUAUCUGAUUAGCUAGUUGGUGGGGUAAAGGCCUACCAAGGCAUCGAUCAGUAGCUGGUCUGAGAGGACGACCAGCCACACUGGAACUGAGACACGGUCCAGACUCCUACGGGAGGCAGCAGUGGGGAAUUUUGGACAAUGGGCGCAAGCCUGAUCCAGCAAUGCCGCGUGAGUGAAGAAGGCCUUCGGGUUGUAAAGCUCUUUUGUCAGGGAAGAAACGGUGAAAGCUAAUAUCUUUUGCUAAUGACGGUACCUGAAGAAUAAGCACCGGCUAACUACGUGCCAGCAGCCGCGGUAAUACGUAGGGUGCAAGCGUUAAUCGGAAUUACUGGGCGUAAAGCGUGCGCAGGCGGUUUUGUAAGUCUGUCGUGAAAUCCCCGGGCUCAACCUGGGAAUUGCGAUGGAGACUGCAAGGCUAGAAUCUGGCAGAGGGGGGUAGAAUUCCACGUGUAGCAGUGAAAUGCGUAGAGAUGUGGAGGAACACCGAUGGCGAAGGCAGCCCCCUGGGUCAAGAUUGACGCUCAUGCACGAAAGCGUGGGGAGCAAACAGGAUUAGAUACCCUGGUAGUCC
rnacentral:rRNA from 1 species